rnacentral:rRNA from 1 species
CCUACGGGAGGCAGCAGUGGGGGAUAUUGCACAAUGGGGGGAACCCUGAUGCAGCGACGCCGCGUGGGUGAAGGAGCGCCUCGGCGCGUAAAGCCCUAUCGGCAGGGAAGAAAAUGCCGGUACCUGACGAAGACUCCCCGGCUAACUACGUGCCAGCAGCCGCGGGAAUACGUAGGGGGCAAGCGUUAUCCGGAUUUACUGGGUGUAAAGGGGGCGCAGACGGCGAUGCAAGCCAGGAGUGAAAGCCCGGGGCCCAACCCCGGGACUGCUCUUGGAACUGCGUGGCUGGAGUGCAGGAGGGGCAGGCGGAAUUCCUGGUGUAGCGGUGAAAUGCGUAGAUAGCAGGAGGAACACCGGUGGCGAAGGCGGCCUGCUGGACUGUGACUGACGUUGAGGCCCGAAGGCGUGGGGAGCAAACAGGAUUAGAUACCCGAGUAGUC